GAUAGGUCGCUGCCGCUACUGUGAUUGGACACUGACGCAGAGUCAACUAGCCUUGUCGUGGCGGCUCUUCACGAGGAGAACGGGAGGGGCCGGGGCGGUCCGAGCCACGAGGGGGGAGGCUCGGACCGCCGUAC
rnacentral:ncRNA from 1 species